AGAGAAGAUGGGCAUGGUCUGGAGAUGCUUACAGAAGAGGCGAGGAGUCCUCUGAGAUAAUGGCUCCCUGUUCGACAAGAGGAAGUGAGUGGGGGCCGUGAAAGGGCAUCGCAGGCGAAGAGUAUGCGCCAGCCGAUUACACCCGUGGCUGGAUCCCAUUUAAGCUCCCAACACUCUUGAGAGCACAGAGGCCCUGGAAUGGUGUUUUGGGGGAUGGAACCGGAAGGCUCAGAAUGACUCAUGAAAAGCCUGCCUUUUGGAAGAGUUAACUCUGGAAGCAGAUUCUCUUCCACCCGGGGGCGAGGGUGAUAGGAGGAAGAUGUAGAAAGAUCCCCUAGAAGGAUACCAGAGGUGGAGUGAGUUGUAAGGUUUAUUUUGGCUCAGGGAUCUCUGCUUCUGCUGAGAGCUUGGCCUAUGUCCCAAAGGCUAGAAGAGGGAGCAAAUACAUGCAAGAGACAAGCACCAGGAACCAGGUUCACUUUGCAGCAACCCAUUCUUGAGAGUCUCUUGUUGUCUUGGAACUUGCCAAAUACAAUUAGCUGGCUACUUAAUGAUCCCCAGAGCUUUGUUUGACAUCUCAAUAUCUUCCUAGUUCUGGGAUUGCAGAUGUUCUGUGUUGGGAAUUAUUACUCAAGGAACAAAAUAACACAAUAAAAAUGAUUCGCCACGAAUGAUCCCUCCAUGAAGUCUUUGAAUAACAAUCCCAGUAAUGUGGAAAACGACGGCGAUGUUUGUUAGGUGAAGAAAAUAGACCCUGGAAUUCCUUAUGUGUGGGAGGCUGCCGUGUUUAUGGUGGAGCGUGGGGACUGGCAGUCGGGAGGAUGGCCACCACCCCUCAUUGUGAACCUGGGGGUGAUUUGAAUUGCAGAAGCUGCACUUCAAAAAUUAAUAAAAUGUUCUGUUACAUCUGGUUCUUAUAUACCUUUUGAAACUAUUUAUUUUUGUUUUGCGUGUUCAAUGUUUUGCCUGCGUGUGUAUGGGUACCAUGUGUGUGCCUGGUGUCUGAAGAGGCCAGAAGUGAGCACAGGUUUCCAGGUACUGAAGUUGCAGAUGGCUGUGAGUGGGUGAUGGGUAUUGAGACUGGGCCUCUAAAAGAGCAUCCUGUGCUCUUAGCCACCAAGACCAUCACUCCGGAACACCAACAUAUCUUUGAAAUGAAAAUAAUUAGUAAGCAUAAUAACCCACAAGGAUGUCAGACAUUGCAGAGGUGGGGAAAUAUGACUAUGCAUGUUCUUUAAGAUUUAACUUUGAAGCAUCCUAGUGUUUUGUCUUAUGUUACUUCCUGACUAGCCCUGUGUGUUUUAACAAUAAAUUUCCUAAAAUGUAAACUUGUGAGGAAGUAGAGCAUUAGUCAUUCCUGUGCUUUACUCUCCCACACAGCUCUCUAUUGCCUUAGAAUAAAGUCCCUCAGCAGCUCCGCCAGGUCUUUGAAGACCGGGAUUUGCCUGCGUCUGUUCCCUUCUGCUCCACCCCACCCUCCAGCAUCUCUGUCACUUAGCUCAUGUCUUGCUCUCUCCACUUUUCCUUGGACUUCUGCAUCCAGUGGAUGUGUGUGGAACCUCCUUCUUCCUCUCCCACUUGCCUCACAAACUCCUACAUAGCUGAAAUGCCACUUCCUUCCAAUUCACUCUGCUGCCUUUCUUAGUCACUGGUUCUGGUAUUUAUGUGUGUCCUUUCAGUGUAUUGUGCCUCUUCUCAGAGCAGACCCAUGACUUGGUGGCCAUUUCUUGUUUGGCUGCCCACAUCACCCAUUGGAUGUAGUGUCUCUGGCACCUCGCUCACUGUGAUGCUUCAGUGUUUGGAACCCAGACAGCUUUGCAGGUUGAACACAAGAAUGUAUGACCUGAGAGAAAGAGCACAUGAUUUUUCUUCCUUCAUCAACCUUCAGGGUUGCAAUGGAUGGCAGUGGCUAUGAAGGUUCUGUGGUCUAAAGAAGGAGAAAAAGUCCACAGAAGCAGCCAGGGCUGAAGUCUCAGUAUCUUUCAGAACUAUAACAGAGUUCAACAGACGGCGUAAUUUACAAAGAAACGUGUUUCUUAUAGUUCUCAAGGGUGGGACCAAGAAGUCCAAGGUUAAAGAGUCUAAAUAUGGCAAGGGCCCUCU
rnacentral:sRNA from 1 species